GCCUUUGAAGCACAGAUUGAAAAUUAAUUGGAAAUUAAAAAGCCUAAUUCUAAAAAACAAGUGGAUCAAAGAGAAGUAAAGGGGAGAUAAUGUCCUGAUCUAGUAAAGGCAUCCCUAGACUAAUUCUAGCUUUCAUUCUUUUUUAUAUAAUAGGAAAAGAAUAGGAUUGAGAUAUCUAAGACCUGAUUUCAAGUUCCAUCUCUGUGUAAUUUAUGAUCUUCCUGGCUUCAAGUCCAGCCCUCUGACAACAAAAGUAGAAAUAAAUAAGGAACCAAAGACACGAGCAAUAGCAAGCGUGGCACCAAUG
rnacentral:lncRNA from 1 species